CUCAAAGGCAUAAGAGCAAUGGGUGGUCCAGUUAUGGCCCUUUAAGAGCCCUCUUAUUUCCAUCCACAGCUGUCCUCACCCCAGCCUGCUGUCCAGAAUCCAGCCAUCUACCAGCUGGCCUUCAGUGCCGCUAAAGCCUCUGGUUUUAGGGUAUGUGACAUCAAGGCAUCGGAGCAAAGGCCUAAUCACGUUAACAUCCACAACCAGACGCUCCACUCAUUUGACUAAUCAAAGAGAACAGCUCGUUCAGAGAGAAGAGAGGCACUGUAUGAGGGACGUCUGAGAGAGAAAAACAUCAAAAGGCAACAUAAUCCAGAGGCGGGGGAAUGCAGCUGGGUAGACUUCAUGUGGCCACCUGGGUUCUUCUCAAGUCUAACCCACUUCCAGAGCACCCUUAGAGGU